rnacentral:lncRNA from 1 species
UGGAGUGCGCCUGCGUACACUCGGCGGGUGCUGGGGCUAGCACGCCCGACGUUCUCACGCCAGCCUGUGUCUCUCAGGCCAACUGUGCAGACUGCGUUUUCGAGUGAAUUCUCCUGUCGGGGCCCUAAACGACAUCAUGCUCACACAGUGAGACCUGGACAUCUGGACUUUUUUUCACUGAUUGUGUGUCUGACAUGGACACACACAGCUGGCUGGGUUGGCACACAGGUUGUGCAUCGUGAACAAAGCCUGGAGUCUGGGAAGGCACAGAUGAGGCCAGAAGACUGGACGUGGGACCUGGGCUUUAUCUAAGGAUUGGGGCCUUCCUCUGCAUUAGGGAGAGUGCUGCUUUGCUCUGGUUGAAAUCCAUCAUUUGAUGGACAGACACGCUGUUUUCAUUCCCUGGCUGUUGGAAUAGGAUAGCAGUGAACAUGGAUGACCAGGCCUCUCUAUAACAGACUACAGAAUCAUGGAUGACCAGGCCUCUCUAUAACAGAAUACAGAAUCAUGGAUGACCAGGCCUCUCUACAGCAGAAUACAGAAUCAUGGAUGACCAGGCCUCUCUACAGCAGAAUACAGAAUCAUGGAUGACCAGGCCUCUCUAUAACAGAAUACAGAAUCAUGGAUGACCAGGCCUCUCUACAGCAGAAUACAGAAUCAUGGAUGACCAGGCCUCUCUACAGCAGAAUACAGAAUCAUGGAUGACCAGGCCUCUCUACAGCAGAAUACAGAAUCAUGGAUGACCAGGCCUCUCUAUAACAGAAUACAGAAUCAUGGAUGACCAGGCCUCUCUAUAACAGAAUACAGAAUCAUGGAUGACCAGGCCUCUCUACAGCAGAAUACAGAAUCAUGGAUGACCAGGCCUCUCUACAGCAGAAUACAGAAUCAUGGAUGACCAGGCCUCUCUAUAACAGAAUACAGAAUCAUGGAUGACCAGGCCUCUCUACAGCAGAAUACAGAAUCAUGGAUGACCAGGCCUCUCUACAGCAGAAUACAGAAUCAUGGAUGACCAGGCCUCUCUAUAACAGAAUACAGAAUCAUGGAUGGCCAGGCCUCUCUACAGCAGAAUACAGAAUCAUGGAUGACCAGGCCUCUCUAUAACAGAAUACAGAAUCAUGGAUGGCCAGGCCUCUCUACAGCAGAAUACAGAACCAAAGGGUUAAAG